rnacentral:ncRNA from 1 species
AGAAAAGCGUUGAAGAGGAGUAGUAGGCGCUCAAUUCCGUUUCAGAGAGCCGGCGGUUGCUGUGAGCCGGUACGGAAACACGCUGAACUCGCCUUGGAGCUGCAGGGAUGAAGCCGCAUCGGUUAUUUUCUGCCGUGAGCCUGCGUGAAGGGAUAAUUAAGGGUUUCGUUCUAAGCGAGACCGAACCAGGGUGGUACCGCGAAGCUGAAAGCUCUCGCCCCUGUU